rnacentral:rRNA from 1 species
UAUGAAGGGUGCAAACGUUGCUCGGAAUUACUGGGCGUAAAGGGCUCGUAGGCGGCCAACUAAGUCAGACGUGAAAUCCCUCGGCUUAACCGGGGAACUGCGUCUGAUACUGGAUGGCUGGAGGUUGGGAGAGGGAUGCGGAAUUCCAGGUGUAGCGGUGAAAUGCGUAGAUAUCUGGAGGAACACCGGUGGCGAAGGCGGCAUCCUGGACCAAUUCUGACGCUGAGGAGCGAAAGCCAGGGGAGCAAACGGG